GAUGAACGCUGGCGGCGUGCCUAAUACAUGCAAGUCGAGCGAACAGAUAAGGAGCUUGCUCCUUUGACGUUAGCGGCGGACGGGUGAGUAACACGUGGGUAACCUACCUAUAAGACUGGAAUAACUCCGGGAAACCGGGGCUAAUGCCGGAUAACAUUUAGAACCGCAUGGUUCUAAAGUGAAAGAUGGUUUUGCUAUCACUUAUAGAUGGACCCGCGCCGCAUUAGCUAGUUGGUAAGGUAACGGCUUACCAAGGCAACGAUACGUAGCCGACCUGAGAGGGUGAUCGGCCACACUGGAACUGAGACACGGUCCAGACUCCUACGGGAGGCAGCAGUAGGGAAUCUUCCGCAAUGGGCGAAAGCCUGACGGAGCAACGCCGCGUGAGUGAUGAAGGUCUUCGGAUCGUAAAACUCUGUUAUUAGGGAAGAACAAAUGUGUAAGUAACUGUGCACGUCUUGACGGUACCUAAUCAGAAAGCCACGGCUAACUACGUG
rnacentral:rRNA from 1 species